rnacentral:rRNA from 1 species
AACCUGGUUGAUCCUGCCAGUAGUCAUAUGCUUGUCUCAAAGACUAAGCCAUGCAUGUCUAAGUAUCAUCCGAAACUGCGAAUGGCUCAUUAAAACAGUUAUAGUUUACUUGAUAUUGCAUCUUACAUGGAUAACCGUAGUAAUUCUAGAGCUAAUACAUGCGUUAUGCCCGACUUCUGGAAGGGCAGUAUUUAUUAGAUAACAAAUCAAUAUUCCUCUGGUCUAUUUGAUGAUUCAUAAUAACUAGCUUAUCGAAUCGCUGGGUUGUACCCGCGAUAAAUCAAUCAAGUUUCUGCCCCAUCAGCUUGAUGGUAGUGUAUUGGACUACCAUGGCUUUUACGGGUAACGGGGGAUUAGGGUUCGACACCGGAGAGGGAGCCUGAGAAACGGCUACCACUUCUACGGAAGGCAGCAGGCGCGUAAAUUACCCAAUCCUAAUUCAGGGAGGUAGUGACAAGAAAUAAUAGACCGGCGUAAGCCGGGUUUACAAUGAGCCUAAUUUACACCGCUUAGUGAGGAUCCAUUGGAGGGCAAGUCUGGUGCCAGCAGCCGCGGUAAUUCCAGCUCCAAUAGCAUAUAUUAAAAUUGCUGCAGUUAAAAAGCUCGUAGUUGGAUUUCUGUGAGACUAGUUUUGUUCGGCACGUGUGUCGGGCGAUCCUCUUCUCACAUCCUUCUGUUAACCUUGUGUACCUUCACCGGUAUGCUUGUGGGCUCAGAUACUUUACCUUGAGAAAAUUAGAGUGUUUCAGGCAAGCUUUCGCUUGAAUACAUUAGCAUGGAAUAAUAGAAAAGGACUUCGU